UACAGAGGUCCCGAGCGUUGUUCGGAUUCACUGGGCGUAAAGGGUGCGUAGGUGGCAAAGUAAGUUGGAUGUGAAAUCCUGGGGCUCAACCUCAGAAUUGCAUUCAAUACUGCUUAGCUAGAGAGCUGUAGAGGAGACUGGAAUUUACGGUGUAGCAGUGAAAUGCGUAGAUAUCGAGAGGAACACCUGCGGCGAAGGCGGGUCUCUGGACAGUUCCUGACACUGAGGCACGAAGGCCAGGGGAGCAAACGGG
rnacentral:rRNA from 1 species